rnacentral:rRNA from 1 species
CCCGGUAGAUGCAGCGACGCCGCGUGAGCGAUGAAGCCCUUACGGGGUGUAAAGCUCUUUCGGCAGGAACGAUAAUGACGGUACCUGAAGAAGAAGCUGCGGCUAACUACGUGCCAGGCAGCCGCGGUAAUACGUAGGCAGCGAGCGUUGUUCGGAGUUACUGGCGUAAAGCGUGCGUAGGCGGUUUUGUAAGUUUGGUGUGAAAUCUCCCGGCUCAACUGGGAGGGUGCGCCGAAAACUGCAAGGCUGGAGUGUGGGAGAGGUAGGCGGAAUUCCUGGUGUAGCGGUGAAAUGCGUAGAUAUCAGGAGGAACACCUGUGGUGUAGACGGCUUACUGGACCAUGACUGACGCUGAGGCACGAAAGCGUGGGGAGCAAACAGGAUUAGAUACCCUGGUAGUCCACGCCCUAAACGAUGCAUACUUGGUGUGGGUAAUUCAUUUUAUCCGUGCCGGAGCUAACGCGUUAAGUAUGCCGCCUGGGGAGUACGGUCGCAAGGCUG